CCAACGGCCCUCUUUAGGGCCACAAAUUCAAAAGAAAUCCACUAUU
rnacentral:ncRNA from 14 species